UACGAAGGGGGCUAGCGUUGUUCGGAUUUACUGGGCGUAAAGCGCACGUAGGCGGUUUGUUAAGUCAGGGGUGAAAUCCCAGAGCUCAACUCUGGAACUGCCUUUGAUACUGGCAAGCUAGAGUCCGGAAGAGGUAAGUGGAACUCCUAGUGUAGAGGUGGAAUUCGUAGAUAUUAGGAAGAACACCAGUGGCGAAGGCGGCUUACUGGUCCGGAACUGACGCUGAGGUGCGAAAGCGUGGGGAGCAAACAGG
rnacentral:rRNA from 1 species